rnacentral:rRNA from 1 species
CCUACGGGGUGCAGCAGUGAGGAAUAUUGGUCAAUGGGCGAGAGCCUGAACCAGCCAAGUCGCGUGAGGGAGUACUGCCCUAUGGGUUGUAAACCUCUUUUGUCGGGGAGCAAAAGCCGGACGUGUCCGGCUGUGAGAGUACCCGAAGAAAAAGCAUCGGCUAACCCCGUGCCAGCAGCCGCGGUAAAACGGAGGAUGCGAGCGUUAUCCGGAUUUAUUGGGUUUAAAGGGUGCGCAGGCGGAUUUUUAAGUCAGCGGUAAAAUCGUGGGGCUCAACCCCAUCCAGCCGUUGAAACUGGGGAUCUAGAGUGUGCGAGAGGUAUGCGGAAUGCGUGGUGUAGCGGUGAAAUGCAUAGAUAUCACGCAGAACCCCGAUUGCGAAGGCAGCAUACCGGUGCACAACUGACGCUCAGGCACGAAAGCGUGGGUAUCGAACAGGAUUAGAUACCCUUGUAGUC